rnacentral:hammerhead_ribozyme from 1 species
GUACUACUGAAGAGUCCCAAUCUAGGACGAAACAGCCGGUUGUCCAGUAC